rnacentral:rRNA from 1 species
UGGGGAAUAUUGCGCAAUGGGCGAAAGCCUGACGCAGCCACGCCGCGUGAGUGAUGAAGGUUUUCGGAUCGUAAAACUCUGUGGGGGGAGAAGAACAAAGCUGGUGAAGAGCCAGCCCUGACGGUAUCCCCUUAGCAAGCACCGGCUAACUCCGUGCCAGCAGCCGCGGUAAUACGGAGGGUGCUAACGUUGCUCGGAAUCAUUGGGCGUAAAGCGCGCGUAGGCGGUCUGGUAAGUUGGAUGUGAAAGCCCUGGGCUCAACCCAGGAAGUGCAUCCAAAACUACCAGACUUGAAUCUCGGAGGGGGCCAGAGAAUUCCCGGUGUAGAGGUGAAAUUCGUAGAUAUCGGGAGGAAUACCAGUGGCGAAGGCGCUGGCCUGGACGAUGAUUGACGCUGAGGUGCGAAAGCGUGGGGAGCGAACAGG